rnacentral:lncRNA from 10 species
AAGAAAGAGGGAGGGACCAGGAUAAAUUAAAUUAUCAGCUGGUUUACUGAGAAAACUCAGAGAAGAAGACAUUCAGGGAGACACCAAGCCAGGGAGGUGACAAGUAUGUGAGGUAUAAUUUGCAGUGAAGUGCACAAAUCAGUGAAAUUUUACGUAUGCAACCUUUAUCACUCACCACCCAAACCAGAGUGGUGUCUUCCCAACACCCCAGGGCCUCUAGUCCUUUUCCAGCGUUGCCUGAAGACACAAACUACUGAUGGCUGCAUCCACAUGACUGACUUCAAACACAGCACGCUGCAGGAGAAAAGCCGGAUACGCGCGUGGAAAGUGGGUGGCUCCACCACCCUGCUGUUCAGGUUUUCUUUCUGAAAGUUCUUUUGGCUUUAUUAUGGAAUAGAGGUUACAGAAAGGCAAAAGCUUUGGCCGUAGCGGGUGGGAAGAUCUUCCUUACCCUGGAGGAGGAAGUAGGGUCUCCGUAAUGUAUGUGUGGUACUCAGGGCUCCCGGCAGCCCGAAGCCAGAGUGUGUCCUCACCCUGCCCCGGGUCAGCCCUGUGACCUGGAGGGAGCAACUGAAAAGCUCUGGGCCUCGGAUUCCUCAUCUGUGAAAUGGGGAUGCUAACAGUGCUACCUCCUCUGGUUGGUUUGUGGCAGAGGACACAUGAGGCAACCUGUGUAAAAUGCUUGGAGGGUGGCCAGUGUGGUUACCAUGGAGAUUGACUGGUACCGUCUUCCACAUCCUGUGUUGACUAAGCGCGCACACCAGAAUACAGUUCCAAACGAUUAUCAAACAUGAAUACAAUUCAGAAAAUAAACAUGCAGCAAAACUUGCCAUAAAGAUUGCAUGAAACUAUCACUUUAAGAAAAAUACAUUAAAAAUUACCUUAAAUACCGAAAAGUACUUUUGUAAGUAAGGAUCAGUCCAAUAAAUUUAACCUGUAUUUGAAUCAGUGUAAAACAACUUGGUUUAUAAUUUUGUCUUCAUCGAGUGGGGGUGACUUUUGUAGCUUCUGUCACUGCUGCCUGGAGUAUAGAAUUAAACACCUUUUUGCAGAAAAAGCCUCCAGCUGUUUUUUUUUUUUUUUUUUUUUUUUUUACUCUCAGAUAAUAUGGGGUGAUUUUUAAAAGACCUGAG